CCAGGUUGAAUUGUGAAUUGAAACUGUCUGUUUUCUGCCGUGUAGUUUGUUUUGAAGCUAUAACUUGCUUAUGUAGUAUCUAGAAAUCGGGUUCAUUUUGGCAUAAUCUUCUUGAUUGGGAAUCAUUUUACUCCUUUACACCUUAGGUUUUCUUACAUAUAGGUUUUUGACACUAAAAUCAGACAGAAAUUAUCCACGAUUCUGGACAUAUGAUGUUCACAGGUAAUGAGUUAGGUGUGCAAUAGAAGCCUCGUUUCUCAAUCACAUUGCACCUUGUUAAUUUUUGUCUAUAGUGGGGAAAUUGGAUAUAAGUGCCUUUGCCCCUUCUGGACUUGUUCUUUUCGGUUUAGUCUUUCUUUGUUGUUCUGAGAGCAAAUAUUUAUUUUUGAUUUACUAGUUGGUGCUGUAUGAAUUUUAUGAUUCUGAAGGUUUUGUUUGUUAUGGUUUCCUCCGUGAUGACUUAAUUUAAGGGUUUGCUGUUCCUUUUUUCAUUGAUCUGCUUCUAUAGACUAUAUUGUUCAGGAUCUAUGUUGACAUUCUUUUCUCAGAUCUGUUAUCACAUUUCUAUUGACGCUUAAUUUACGGAUAGGUUUCCAAGAAUUCUUCAUUUGAUUAUCCUUACAUCCUUUAUCCUUUUUUGGUCAUCUCUACUGAGGCUCUUUACAUUUCAGUCUUUGUUUGAUAAUCAGUAUCUACUUUUGUCAAUUUCUUUGAGUUUGUUGUGUGGGUUUGACACGGAAUAUUUGUGGCAGGCAGAGAGCUGAACUAUGGUUAUUAUCAGAGAAAUGAAGAUUGGUUAUUAUUGGAGAAAGCGUUCAGAUGAUCCACAUUUUUUCAAUGAGUCAUUCUUUGUUUUAAAUUUUGUGCUAUGAGUACAUGACAUAUAAAUUGAACUUGAGCUUUCAUUUUUUUGACCAAUGAAUAUGCUUUUUCUGCAGCUUGGUUUGUCAAAAUAAUAACUUCUGUCAAUGCAUGAAGUCUCAACUUGUGAUUUGUUGUUGCCUAGUAAGUUCUUUUUGUUUCAAUCUUUAUUGAUUUUUUUUUUUUACAAUCUUUAUUGAUUUUGAGAGCAUAUAUUUCUUGACUUAUGAUUUACUCUUUGGUGCUGCUGGAAUUUUAUCCUCCUAAAGGUUUCUUUUGGUUUGCUCCUUGAUGGAUUAACUUCUUUUGGUUCUACUUUUCUUUGAUCUGCUUCUAUAAUCUAGAUUGCUAGGGAUUUACAUAGUAACAUGAGUUUCUCAGAUCUGUUAUCACACUUCAAAUGACUCUUACUUUAUGAAUAGGUUAUCAUGAAUUAUUUGUAUGAUUUUUAUAAUUCAUCAUUUGAUAAUAGAGAGAUCAUUUAUCCUUUUUGCAGCGAGAUAUACUUUCCUCUUUCCAGCUAGCUAAGAGAUCCUGAUACAAUGAACAAGAAUGGAGAAUGGCUCCACAUAGAUAUAUCAAUUUUUUUAAAUGAGUCGUAAUAUUUAUUUUAAUUUGUUGGAUUUGGUUGCAACACAUACAAAUUGACUUUUAAACAUAUUGUUUUUCUGCAGUGUGGUUUGUCAAACUAAUAACCUUCUUCAUAGCAUGGUGCAUAGCAUUGUGAUUUGGUGAUAUCUAUUAAAUUCUUUUCAUUUUCAAAAUUUCAAGUAGUUUGUGAACAUAUAAUUUCUUGAUUUCUUCAUUUGAUAAUAGAGAGAUCCUUUAUCCUUUUUGCAGCGAGAUAUACUUUCCUCUUUCCAGCUAGCUGAGAGAUCUUGAUACAAUGAACAAGAAUGGAGAAUGGCUCCACAUAGAUAUAUCAAAUUUUUUAAAUGAGUCGUAUUAUUUAUUUUAAUUUUUGGGAUUUGGUUGCAACACAUACAAAUUGACUUUUAAACAUAUUGUUUUUCUGCAGUGUGGUUUGUCAAACUAAUAACCUUCUUCAUAGCAUGGAGCAUAGCAUUGUGAUUUGGUGAUAUCUAUUAAAUUCUUUUCAUUUUCAAAAUUUCAAGUAGUUUGUGAACAUAUAAAUUCUUGAUUUCUUCCUGUUAUAUUUAUCUUCCUCUUUUUAUAUUUUAAUGAUCUGAUUAUUUUGUUAGGGUUUCAAUUGUUUUUCUUCUAAUUCCUCUUUUGCGACAAAUUUUAUUCUUCGUUUCAUUGUGUACAUUCCUAGUCUUUUGCGAUUAACUUCUUCGUUUCACUACUGUUUUCUUACAUUAAUGUUUAUGUAUGACAUGUAAUCUGACAGUGAGGUUUUACACGAUUCUGGAAAAGUUGGGACAACUUUGUCAGGCUCUCUUUGUGAUCUGCUGAUCAGAGGGCUAGGUUUGGAGAAUUAUGCUAAUCUUUCCUCUUUUUUCUUCGUUUUUUCAACAACUAUUUGCCACACUACCCCAUCAUUCUACUGUUUUCUGAUAUUUAGGUUUUUGACAUAUAAUCUGACAUUGAAAGUUUGCUCGAUUCUGGAAAAGUGCAACACUUUUGUGGGGUUUUCUUGUAGCCAUCAUCUAAACGACUUGAUACAAUGGACAAAAAUGGAGCACGGUUCUAGAUAGAUAAAUAAAAUUCCUUCAAUGAAUCGUUCUUAUUUAUUUUAAUUUCUGGGAUUCGAUUGCAAGUCAUAAAUUGAAUUGUGUAAAUGUUUUUCUGCAGUGUGAAAAAUUUGGGACAACUUUGUAACUGUGAUUUCAGAGAUGAGCGGCAUGGUUUGAAGAAAUAUUUUUGUUGUUUUUUAUUUUUUUUCUACAACUAUUUGUUGCGGCAUAAUAUUUCUGCACAUGUAUCAUCUGUGGUAUUCGCAGGGUCUGUAGAAUGCAUGGGUUUGGUGUGCAACAGAGGUCUCGAGAUUUUUUUCUACAACAUUCUUUUUUAAUUUUUAUGCCUUCGCUUUGAUGCAUUAUAAGUGAACUGAACUUUGAACGUGUUUUCUGCAGCUUGGUUUGUCAAAAUAAUAACUUUCUUCAUAGUAUGGAUUCUCGAGAUUUGGUUUGGCGAUCUUUAGUAAAAACAUUUGUUUCAAUCUUUCAUUAUUAAUUCUUAUAUCAUAUAUAUGUCUUGAUUUGGUACUUACUCUUGGGUUCUGCACGAGAAGAUGUGAUUUUAAUUUUUCGAUUCUAAAAUUUGCUUGUUCUUGUGUUCAAUUUUCUUUUCUUUCUUGAUUUCUUGAUCUGUUUGCCAGUUGUUUUUUUCCAUGAUUGCUUAAUUUCAGGGUUCCUGUAAUCGAGAAUAGGAGAUUGUUAGUGAUAUGCUUUUCUCAUAUUGUAGAUAUCGAGAAAUUCACCCAAUCACACUUCUCUUGACUCUUUUAAAUUGGUUAUCAAGAAUGAUUUGUCUAAAUUUUGUAUAUAAUUCUUCAUAAUUGGAUAAUUGAGAUGCACUUUUUAUCCAUUUUGCAGUGAGUUGAGAACUCUUGUAUUCGUAUGUGUUGUUCUUUCCGUUUAUUCAUUUUUUCCAUUGAGUUGUUCGUCAUUUUUAUUUCUUGGCCCGACAUAUAUGAAUUGAAGUUUGAACAAGUUUUCUAUGCAGUGUGAUUUGUCAAAUUAAUAAAAUUGUACAUAGCAUGGAGCCUAUCAUUUUUGAUUUGGUGAUAUCUAUUAAAUUCUUUUCUGUUUUAAAAUUUCUUCAUCUACUCUGAGAGUAUAUAUAUGUUGAUUUGUUAUUUACUCUUUAGUGUUUCAGGAGUAGUCAGUGAACAUAUGUUAAAUUCUUUUUGAUUUGGUGAUAUCUAUUAAAUUCUUUUCUGUUUUAAAAUUUCUUCAUCUACUCUGAGAGUAUAUAUAUGUUGAUUUGUUAUUUACUCUUUAGUGUUUCAGGAGUAGUCAGUGAACAUAUGAUUUCUUCAGGUUCUAUAUCUUCCUCUUCUGUGAUUUUCAUGUGUUGCGUUCUUAUUCUUUUUUUUGUUGAUUAUUUUGUUCUCUUAAUCUAAAGUUUGAUUUGUUUAUUGUUGGUUCCAAGCAUUUAAUUUGUUGGCAAAAUACUGGAGUUCUCAUGUGAAUUUUCUGUUUUAAUGUGUUUCCAAUUGAGUAUCAGAUAAUGGUAAUGUUUUGCGAAAUUAUGAUUAUCACCCCAGGUUGAAUUGUGAAUUGANNNNNNNNNNNNNNNNNNNNNNNNNNNNNNNNNNNNNNNNNNCGAAGCUAUACCUUGCUAUGUAGUAUCAAGCAAUCAGGUUCAUUUUGGCACAAUUCAUUUCAUGGUGAACUGAUCAAAGCAUAUAGACUCUGAAUCAUUUUCAUCUCAUUUAUUCUAUAUUUUAUUGUCCAGUCUUCUUAAUCCACUCUUUUUAUGAUAUUUAAUUACGAUUAGUUUUUUUUAUAUGCGUGGAGGGUUGGUGGUUAUAUUUGAUAAGUUCAUCCUUAGGUUUUGUUACCCCCAUCACACAACUGUUUUCUUACAUUGAAGUUUUUGACAUGUAAUCUGACAGUGCAAAUUUUUUAAUAAUUCUGGAAAAAUUGGAACAUCUUUGUGGGGCUCUCUCUUUGUAACUGUGAUCGGCUGAUCAGUGGCUUGGUUUGGAGAAUUAUGCUAAUCAUUUUCUUGAUUUUUUCUACAACUGUGUCACACUACCCCAUCAUACUACUGGUUUCUUUCAUUUUGGUUGAUGACAUGUAAUCUGACAGUGGAAGUUUACACAAUUCUGGUAAAGUUGGGACAGCAUUAUGGGGUUCUCUUUGUAACUAUGAUCGUUUUAUCAGUGGCUUGGUUUGGAGAAAUAUUUAUUGUUUUUCUUGAUAUUUCUACAAUUAUUUGUCGCGACGUAAUUUUUCUACACAUGUAUCAUCUGGUGUUCACAGGGUAUGUNNNNNNNNNNNNNNNNNNNNNNNNNNNNNNNNGUUACAUGAGAUUGGUGUGCAAAAGAAAUCUCCUUUCUCAAUAACAACACUGCACCUAGUUAAUUUUGGCCUAUGAAGUGGAGAAAUAGGAGAUAAGUGCCUCCUCCCUUUGAACAAUUUACAUGUAUCAACCAGUUAUGUUUCUAGGCUUAAAGGAUAUCCUCUUCAUAACAGUGGCCUGAGGACUUCUCUUUAUUAGGAGGAAUCUGAAAUUGUCUGUUCAUAUGGAAACACAACGAUCUUGAAAUUGGAUGCAAAUUUGUUUUCAUGAAUCAUCAUCUCUACAGUCUGUGUCGUAUACUCUCUACUGUUGCUAGGCUAUGAUUUGGUCAUCUCUACUGAGGCUCUUUACAUUUCAGUAGUUGUUUGAUAAUCGGUAUCUACUUUUGUGAAUUUUUUUUAGUCUGCUGUGUGGGUUUGACAUGGGAUAUUUGUGGCAGGCAGGGAGCUUAAGUAUGGUUAUUAUCAAAGAGAUGAAGAUUGGUUAUUAUAGGAGAAUGAGAAGAUUGGUUAUUAUUUAAGAAUGAAUUCAGAUAAAUUUUGUCCUUUGAGUACAUGACAUAUAAAUUGAACUUGAGCUUACUUUUUUUUACCAAUGAAUAUGCUUUUUCUGCAGCUUGGUUUGUCAAAAUAAUAACUUCUGUCAACGCAUGGAGCCUCCAGUUUUGAUUUGCUGUUGUCUAGUAAAUUCUUUUUGUUUC
rnacentral:lncRNA from 1 species